UCUUUGAUUUCCCAUUCUUUUUCUUCUUCUUCUCACUCUGUCGUUAUGAUAUGAUAUGAUGAGACUGUUGGGUUUUAAAAGUAAAAGUGAAAAUUGGGGGAUUUUCAAAUCUGUAACAAAAUAGUGAGCGCUGAGUAAUUUUUCUCACUAAAAUAUUUACCGCUCAAAACACAAAAUUUCAAUUUACCCAUGUUUACCUUAAAAAGUAUAGUUAUAUAUUAAAAUAAAAAAAAAUAACAAAAACUGUUAAAUUACUAAAGUAAUUAUGUACUCUCGAUGGGUUUUUAGAUUUUUAUACUUUUUUGAGGGAGUUUGUUUCAAGGUUUAAAAAAUUAAUUUCUAGAAGAAAAAAAAAAUUCAAGUAUAAUUUUUCUAGGCAUAAUUUUUUC
rnacentral:lncRNA from 1 species